rnacentral:rRNA from 1 species
CAGUCGCCGCGGUAAUCCGUAGGGUGCGAGCGUUAAUCGGAAUUACUGGGCGUAAAGCGUGCGCAGGCGGUUGUGUAAGACAGGUGUGAAAUCCCCGGGCUUAACCUGGGAACUGCGCUUGUGACUGCACAGCUAGAGUAUGGCAGAGGGGGGUGGAAUUCCACGUGUAGCAGUGAAAUGCGUAGAGAUGUGGAGGAACACCGAUGGCGAAGGCAGCCCCCUGGGCCAAUACUGACGCUCAUGCACGAAAGCGUGGGGAGCAAACAGGAUUAGAUACCCCCGUAGUCCCUGUCUCUUAUAC